GCAGUAGGGGGUUAAUAUAGAUUAAUCUUUGUUAAAGCUGUGUUUUGUUGUUUGAUUUACAUGACAGACAACAGCAGGUAUUUAUAGGUUGCUGUCACUUUAAGAGUAAGACAUGCACGCACACAUCAGAUAGAUACACAUCUGAAUUCUCACCUCCUUCACUUAAGAAAUUAACCGAAAGUGUUUACGAGAAGACUUGCUGAGAGAGGUAGAAGGUUCUCUCAGCCGUCUUGAUGUCGAACACAAAGCUGUCCUGGAACUCUUUGCGUUUGAAGGAUCCCACAGGCUCUCUUUCUUCCAUCAACACACACACACAAAGCCACCUCCGCCACCAAACCAGGGAACCAAGGACACUGUUUCCACUAACCGCUACACCCCCGCUCUUCCCGGUCCUGCAUCCAGCCUCACUGUCCGACAGGAAGCGGAAAAUGGAUCCCACUACACAUCCUGUGUUUUCUCAAGCCUGCUGUUGACCUACCCCUCACAUCACUCCUCUCACUCCAUUCGGCCUGUCGCUCACAGAAUAGAGCACUAACACACUGCUUACUACCUGCU